rnacentral:sRNA from 1 species
GCCAGGUGUGGUGGCUCACGCCUGUAAUCCCAGCACUUGGGGAGGCUGAGGCAGGUGGAUCACCUGAGGUCAGGAGUUUGAGACCAGCCUGGCCAACAUGGUGAAACCCUGUCUCUA